rnacentral:lncRNA from 1 species
CACUAACUUGGUGACAAUCCCACCAAUUCAACGACAAUGGAAAUCUCUACCCUUCACUCCUUUGCGACUUCUAGAAUCAAAGGCGAACUACCAUCAUUGCAGGAAAGGAAAAGAAAAUAACAACAGUUCUUGCGGUUAAAGCAUAUAUCAAGUGAAGGUAUGCCGCUUGAAUCCUUUUUCUUUCAAUAACCAUCCGUACACGGCGGCAGUAAUGCCAAGACAAAAAACUUGAUACUUUGUUCAUAGUCAUCUCAUUAUUGAAAAAGUAAAUGUAAAACUGGCCUGCAAGAUAAAAGCAUUUUCCAGUAACUGAAUGUACAUCCUAUGAUCGUUUGUGCUCUUAAUAAUCAAUUACUGGGAGUACCGCUAGAUGAAAUAUAGUGGAAACUCCAGAUCUUAUAACUUUUAGUACAUUCUCAACUAAGAUUUUAAGACAUGAGAUUAUAUGCCAAUAGUUACAUUUAAGUCAUAAAAGGCAGUAAGAAUAAGUUUUAGGACAUAGUGUGGGCUGAAACUACUUAUUUGAAAAUAGUGAAACAACUCAUUAAAUUAACUAAUUUUAAGUGAUUAAGUUUUAAGAAUUAAUACUAUACAACUAAGAGCAGGCUACAAAAUAGUGAAUCAAGAAUAUUCAACUGUAUAAAAUAUUUUAACCAACACUUCCACCAACCACCCCGGUGAAGUGAAAUAUAUAAUAUGGUCAAUCAAGCAUAUUAAAAUUAAUAUGUUAAAACUAAUAAAAGUGCACUCGGAAGGCAACCAUAAAGCAAGAACAGUAAUGAUGCACACCUUCAGAUUGACAAAUUCCAUUGUUCAUAAGAUAUGGUGGACCAAAUUUACCUUUAUUGACACCAAGGCAGAAUAGAUUGUGAAUUUGCCAUCUCAAAAAGCAACCAUUUAUCUUUAGUACCUGCAGUGACUAAACAGCAUUGCAGAGACCGCCAAGCAUCAGAUUUCCUAUCUACAAAAUUCCUUCUAAUAAAAAUUAGAUGGUCUUGAACAAUUGAAAUGAAAAUAGUUCUAUUUCUCUCGGUAGUAAUACUAUUUAGAUUGGGAUACUAUCAAGCAAAUAAAAAAAGCAAGUGGCAAAUUUUCUCAACAAACUAAGACACUUUUAGAGAGAAGUUGGGAACAGAUGUCGUAUAAGCUAGCAGCAAAAGGCAAUUUAAUCUGGCACCAAUAGUAGACAUUUCAUUGAGUUUACUCGCAUAAGAAAAAGCAGAGGAUUGAUUGUACAGACAAUAUAGAUCUACGAAUCUCCAAAUAUAAAGGAUCUUCCACUUACUUGUUUGUUCAAUCCCUAAAUAUUCCGUGGAGGUAUUUAUAACCAAUAGGUAUAGGAUUCAACAAUUUAAAAUGACUAAGAACAAUAUCUUCAAAACAAUCAAUAGACAGAUUUUUUCCUUUCCAUUUUAGAAAGUGAAAAAACACAAAUCCUAGCUGGAUAAGAGUGCUUAUAUUGAGAUAUAGAGAAGGAUCCAUGGAGUGUAGUAAUGUGACUGUAUUGCUUCUUUGGAUGUCAAUCAUUUAAGCAGAAAGAAACAAUAGACUGUUAGGCAUGAUGUGGAUAUAAUUCUCUAUGUUUAUAUAGUAUACAUAGGAUUGUUUUAAUCUGGUUGCAAUGUAAAAUGAGAUAUACACAUUUUGUCUGCACAAAUAAUGUUAAAACUAUCUACCACAGUAAGUUGAAACCGUAGGCAUAUAUCUCAAAAAAGAAAAAGAACUUCCAUCUGUAACCUAUCAACUCAGGUUGGUCGUUGUCUAGUUGUUGCUAGAACCGUGCCUUAGCCAGACCCUUCAAAAAAAUCAGGGAACAAUCACACAAUACACCAAAAUCCACACAAUUGAACGUAAACAUGCCAAGCCCCAUGUGAAAGAAAAUCCUGAGUUUGUAAAUUGAUGAGUGAGAGAAUUAAUUGACCAUUAGUUCUCUACAUUCGAUGGACUACAUCAGUACAACGUUUAUUGGGCAUGUAUACAUGUGAGAAGCGAGAGGAAGAAAUGAGGGCAUGAGGGGGCAAGAUACCUUGGGGAAGAGCUAUUGCGGCUGGACCUCACGUGUUGUGCGGCUGCCGCAAGCGUCUGGCUAUCAAUCUUCGCUUCAAAACAGCACAGUGAAUAAAACAAAAACAUAUUUUUCUUACCUAUCCAUGCUUUUACAAAAGAAGAAAAGACUGUAAGAAGUCUGAUUUAAUUACACCAUCAGCAAGAGUUUACAACUACAUAAAAGUUAGGUACACCAGAAGCAAUACAAUGCUACCAAAAGACAAGAACAUGACACUCAAACACGAAACUAUUAAGCAGAAAAAUGUUGUUGACACCAAGCAAAACACUUAGCAAAAUAACAAAUGAAAUGCCUAGAUUCCUUGUUGAACCCAAACCUUUCUCCAAAAUAGAAGGCCACCAACAGUAGCCACGAAUCGUUAUGCACCCCAAUGAGUGAUAACCAAUCUUUAUCAUUCAUACCAUCCCGGGCAAAGUUAAUUCCUAGUGCAGGCUCCCCCAGCAGCGGCACGACGCUGCGGACAGCGGCUUCCUCCUGGCGGUGUGCUCGUGGUGGGCGCUGGACAGAGAGGAGGAAGGCAGGAUGAGGGAGUGAGGAUGCGGUUAUGGAUUGGGGCUAGGGUUCAGGAGGUUGUGCCCAAAGAGCAGCAGGGCACGGGUCAAAUGGCCAGCGAAGCUUCAAAUAGGGGACCUUCCUGGGAGCGAGUUGUCCAGAGGACCUUAUAGGUUUAAAUACACAUGACCGUGAUGAACAAUUUCCUAUAAUCUCUUGUCUUGCCAGAUAACUGCUCAUACAUAUCAUUGCAGUUUUCAAUAGCUUGGAACAAACAAAUUGACAGAUAACUGCUCAUACAUAUCAUUGCAGUUUUUCAUGUGCUUCAUGGAUGCCUACCUGAAACUACUGGUAGGAGGUAAGUAACAAGUUACUUGCAUGAUGAAUGGCAUGGAGAACUGAAUCCACAAAUGCAAAUCCAUACUUGCAGGAAAACUAAUCUGCCCUCCUACCUAUUACCUAACUUUUCACAAAUUAGGUUGCAUCAAAUCAAAUAAUGGUAAAAGGCAAAGCAGAUCAUAAAGGAAGUUACCUGGUUAGCAUAUUGCAAUAUCAUCUCCUUUGUUUAUCAGAGAGAAGCCCAGCAUGGAAGGCUAUAGAUAAUCAAGAACCUGUGAAAAAAUGAUAGUAAAUUCGUAAUAUAGUGUUCGCACACGAACUUCAGACAACACAAUUUUCUUUUGAAAUGAAUAGAUGAGGAUUGAGAUGGUUAACUUAUACAUAAAAUACGUCCAUCAAUAGUAGUUACCAUAUCUUCUGGAUCGGUCUUUGGCAGACGAUGUAGUAGAGGCAAACCAUGACCAUCGUCAGCUCCUGCAGUCCUGCCCUCACAGAGCUCUGCCUUCCAUUCUUCUCGGCGCCCCUGCAGCCAACACCCUCAUGCAUGAGACAAAGUGGAGGAAAGAGAGAGGAUGUAUAGGCAAACCUGAACCUCCUCGAGCUCCUUGCUCCUGCUGCUCUAGUCGGUGACCCUCCCUCAACCGCCGACCACAUCCGCAACCGCUGCUGAAAUGUAAUGAAGGCCUCCCAUGAAAGGAAAUUAAUAUCUAUAAAAAUUAAUAUCUAUAAAUGAGAAAUCAGAUGAGAAAAUAUGCGGAGUAAGCAAUAGGCAUUUUUAGCGUCGCUAUGAUACUGGAUAAUGCUGGCCUCUGGUAGCACGAUGCAUCACAAGCAUAUGUCGAGAUAGAAAGGUAAGUAGUAGAUAAUGGUUGGUUUCUGUGCCUAAAAUACGUAUGCAAAUUGGUGCAUGGCGACAAAUAGUAGCAAGUAUCACUCACGGAUAACAAUCUACUCAAGCUGAAUUGAAACCGGAUAAAUAAUGCAACCAGGCAACCAGGUAAAAAAUUGGCACAUAUGUACAUACAACUAUUUCAUUGGUCUUUCCCUGAAUUUUUACCUAUUCAUCUAUGCUUAUGUUUAAAGAUCGAGUAUCCAUCUGCUGUAACAUCAAGGAAAUCGCACAUGUAUCUUUCUCUCUACUCUUUUCACAAAAUUGGUUGCUUCAAACAUAAAAAUUGUUGGCAAUACAUAUAUUAUGAUUAUAUUUUUUUUCCAAAUAAUUAACUCACAUGUCAGCAUAUAUAUCUUGGCACUCAUUAUUUAUCAAGAAUUAGGUGGCAUGGAUCCACUCUGGCAACAAACAUAUGCAUGGUAGGAGAAAAAUGCGAAGAGAAAAACACGGGACAACACAGACCUUGCCUCCUCCCUGGCCCAGUUCCCUGUCGCCAGCCUCCUCCCCUUCCUGCGCAGCUCCACCCCAUCACGACUGGAGCGUUGCCCCAUGCUGCAACCACCGGAUGGCCAGUGAAGCUAGUUGUG